UGUAACUUGCCGACUUGUCACUGGGAUACUGUAAACACCUGAAGUGCAUGACACAAACUGAUUGUGCUGUGUUGUGCUACAUUCCCUUUAUCACGAGGGCCACCACCCAACACUCGGAGCACCUGCAAAGUUUACGAACUACCGCUUUGAUGUCGACGAGUUCCUUCGGAUUCUUCGCAUUACCAUGGACUAUGUCAAGAAGUUGCAGGCCGUUUCUGUUGAGCUGGGCACCAGCGGGUCACAGUUCUUGACAGGUCAUCAGGAAUUGUAAUACACGGAGAUGAGACCUCUUGUCUCUCUAUUUGCACCCUAUGCCUUCCUUCAUGAUGAACCCCUACCAACUAGCUCAACUUUCGAUCUUUUUGUUCUCAGGUAUCACCUGCAAUAAUGUAUUUUGUUUCGAUCACCUUGCCAUCUAUUGCACCAAGCUGAAAAUAUCAAAACUACAUAAAGAUUAGAAGAGUGUACUAAUGGAGUGGUGAUAUCAGAAUGGCAAGUCAAUUUCGUAGAAAUGCAUGGGUUUAAGAAAAAUUAAUGAUAGGCGAAAAAUUUUGAUGCAGCUUAGAGUGCAACACUGUAUGCUGUUGGACUUAACGUGAGAGCUCUAGGAAGUGUUGACCAAUGAUUCGCCUGUCCUUCGAGGACAGGACGCUGGUGUAUGCGGGCAAAUGCACGCUGCCCUUCCAAAUGUGUAUCGAGCUACAAAAUAAAACAAGGUACCAGACAA